rnacentral:rRNA from 1 species
AUAGACUAGGGGGCGCAAGCUUACCAAACCUAACCAAACUCCGAAUACCAUGAAGGGUAUCAUAGCAGUGAGACUGUGGGGGAUAAGCUCCAUUGUCGAAAGGGAAACAGCCCAGAUCGCAAGUUAAGGUCCCUAAGUAUAUGCUAAGUGUUAAACGAAGUAGGGUCGCCCAGACAGCCAGGAGGUUGGCUUAGAAGCAGCCAUCCUUUAAAGAGUGCGUAAUAGCCCACUGGUCAAGGGGCCCCGCACGGAAAAUAAACGGGGCUAAGCAUAUCACCGAGACUGCGGGAUCUAUUUAUAGAUCGGUAGGAGAGUGUCGUUAAAGCAUUGAAGCUAAGCUGUAAGGCUUGGUGGAGUUUUAACAAGUAAGAAUGUUGGCAUGAGUAGCAAAAAUGCCGGUGAGAAUCCGGCAGGCCGUAAGUCUAAGGAUUCCUACGCAACGUUGAUCGGCGUAGGGUUAGUCGGUCCUAAGGCGUAUCCGAAAGGAAAAGUCGAUGGACAGCUGGUGAAUAUUCCAGCACCUAUAAUUAAUUGUUUGAGUCAAAGGGGUGACGCAGAAAGAUAAACAGAGCAUACGUAUUGGACAUCGUGUGUUUUUGCCUGUAGAUGAGUAGAGAAGGUUAAAAUAUUUUCUACGUUUGAAUUGAGGGGUGAGAAAACUAUGAGGUUCGCCUCGUAGAAUUCUGUCGACUCUAAACUGCCAAGAAAAGCCUCGUUGAUUAGAUUUUUCAUAGACCGUACCGCAAACCAACACAGGUAGACAGGGAUAAACGUCCCAAGGCCAUCGAGAGAACCAUCGUUAAGGAACUCGGCAAAUUGACCCCGUAACUUAGGGAGAAGGGGGACCUUUUGUGUAUAUGAGUUUACCUCAAAAAGCAUGGAAGGUAGCAUAAAAUAGGCUGAAGCGACUGUUUACCAAAAACACAGGUCCAUGCCAAAGCGAAAGCUGAUGUAUAUGGGCUGACGCCUGCCCAGUGCCGGUAGGUUAAGGAAAGUUGUGCAAGCAACUGACUGAAGCCCCGGUGAACGGCGGCCGUAACUAUAACGGUCCUAAGGUAGCGAAGUCCCUUGUCGGGUAAGUUCCGACCCGCACGAAUGGCGUAACGACUUCAGCACUGUCUCAACGAUGGACUCGGUGAAAUUGCAGGACCGGUAAAGAUGCCGGUUACGCGCAGCAGGACAAAAAGACCCCGUGGAGCUUUACUGCAACUUGGCAUUGGUUCGAGUUUUAAAAUGUGUAGGAUAGGCGGGAGACUUUGAACUCUAGGCGUCAGC